CUUUUCUUGGGACACCAUAGCUUUUACAGGAGGCUGGCUUUGGGGAGCUUUCCCAGUGAAACCCGGAAGCUGCGCCGUUGUGGUUCUCAUCUCAUCUUAGCUGUCAGACAGUUGGGUAAAUUAUUCUUAAAUAAAAUGUUCUGAAUGUUGCUGUAUACAAAUGAAUCACUAAGCCAUGAGCACACUAAGACAGCAAGCUGAUGGAGUGAGGACUACAGGUUCUCUAAUGCUUUCAGCUCUUGAAUGCUGGAGAUUUUACAGGUAAGCCAGCAAACACUCUAACAUGAUCCUCAGCAGACAGAACAGAUGAACAAUAUAGGAAACCGAGACCCUGAAAUUGCCUACCCCCUGCUGUGCACAGCAUAUAUUGCCAACAGAGCUGACUUGGCAGACUCACCUUGGGAGAAAUACUGGUUUCUGUGCCAGAUGUUCUCGAAGUUCUGGAGAAGUAGUAUCAGAACUCAUAUAUCGUUCCACAUAGUCUGACCAACGCUAGGAAUAGAAUCAUAGACGAUCAUGAAAACAGCUAUCUAUACCCAUAUAUCACGAGUCUAAUCUAUCACCAAAAUGUCCAAAGACUACAGAUUUUAAGAACAAAUAGUCUACUGUGGUAGCAUAUAAAAGUAAUUCUAGCACCUGUGAAACUAAGCCAAAAAAAAAAAAAAAAAAAAAGGGGAUCCCCAGGUUAUAGCCCAGUGGUAAGUAAAGUGGUUGCCUAAUUUGAUGCCCACAGUGCAAAACUAAGAAGUAAUGGGGUUGGGGAUUUAGCUCAGUGGUAAAGCGCUUGCCUAGCAAGCGCAAGGCCCUGGGUUCGGUCCCCAGCUCCGAAAAAAAGAAAAGGGAAAAAAAAAAAAAAAAAAAGGUAAUGGCCCUUACAUGAAAGAUUUGUUAUCAAAAUAUAUGUCUCAGUAGUUAAGAGCACUGGCUGCUCUUUAGAGGACUCCAGUUCUGUUCCUAGCACCCAUAAUGCCUCACACGUAUGUACCCACCCACUCACACACACCCUAGUCCACCAGAAUUCAGGGUGACCAGGCAAGCUCUGAAAUGCACUGUCCAUACCUCUGCUUCUACAGGGUCAUCUGAGUUCUCCUCUUCUGUGUCCAGGAGCUCAAUGGUCAGCUGAACUUGACCUUGACUUUGAAUGAACAUUAGCUGCAAAACAGAAGCAGUGUAAACAAAAACAAGCAAAAAACCCCCAAAUUUUCAAGGUUAUAAACCUACAUUGUCAUUGAACGUAGAAAAGUAAAUUAUAUAAUUUUGUUCCAAAGGAUGAGAUACAGAGUACUGAAAGCUGGUGAUUACAGUGGGACUGCAGAGAUGGCUGCAAGCUCUGGCUGCUCUUCUUGAGGACCUGGGUUUGAUUCCCAGAACCCACAUGGUCUAGUUCAAUUCCAGAGGACAGAACAGAGGCUUCUGGCCUCUCGGGGGCAUUCCAUGCAGGUAAUACACAAACACAUAAAGACAAAGCCUCCCUACACAUAAAAAUAAAACCUAGAGAAAAAUCAAGUUAGUAAAUGUUUGCUAGUAAAUAAAUGAUUGCUCAGACCCAGCCUGUGUACAUUUAUAGUCCAGCCACGUAACUGUAGCUCUCACCCCCUAUCAAAGAAGCUUCUUUUUGAAGCAGAUAGAAAGUACUACAAAGAUUCACAACUGGUGAAACUGCAGGGAAAUAACCAACAAUGGGGUGUCUGAUUCCAACUGAUUAUCUGUAAUGCAACCCCUAAGCUUAAAGGUCAAGAAAAAGGAAGAAGAGUCACAAAGAUUGUAAGAGCGAGAAGACCAGGGCAGGUAUCUUCUGGAUACCAUCAGGAAUAUCACACCCAUGAAAUCUCAUCGAUAAGGUUACCUAAACAAAACCCGCACAAUGACAUCAGCUGGUACUCCAAUAUAGGUGGGGACAUUUUCACAAAGGCCCAACAAAAGGCAAAGAGCUACAGUUAAUUGGUGGCUGUUGCGAGAGGAAGAAUCUAUUUUCCCCAGUGACAAGCACCUUGAAAGGUUAUCCCAGGUGAUCAGUUCUAAAUAUAUGUGGCAAUAUCAAAUGGAUUCAGCGGGUUGUAUACAUAUGUGACAGUGAAAAUUAAGGAAGAGGCCAUGGAUCUGAGCCUGAGUGGGAAGAGAACACUGGAGAAACUGGAAGGGAGAAGGAAAGAAGGGGAUGAUGUAAACAUAGUAUUCAUGUAUGAAAUUCUCAAACAUUAAAAACAAAAUUUUUUUUAAAAAAAGCAUGUUAAUGAAUGGUGUGUUGGGCUCGUGGGAUGCUCACUGGGUAAAAGUGCUUGCUUACUGACAAUUAAGUCCUAGCUUAACUCCUUAAAGCCACACUGUAGAAGAGACCUGGCUCCUGCAGUUGCCCUUAACCUCCACAAGCCAAUCUAUAUAUACACAUCCACACGUGUACACCUACACACAGACACAGACACACACACAGAGUCUUUAAAGGGCUCUAUUGAGGUAGUAUGGUGGUACAUGCCUGUAAUUCCAGCACAAAGGAGGCUGAGGCAGCAGGACUACCUCAAUAGUGUGACCUACAUACAAGUGGAUACAUAAAUAAACGAAAAUUGUUAUAAUGGUGCCAAUCAUGUUUGAAUUGAAAUUACUAAAUUGGUAGUAGGCACAUGGCUGUAAACACUCAUGUAUAGAAGCGCCAUUAAUAAAGGCAGUCACAAGCCUUAUUUUAUAGAAAGCUGUCAGCAGAUCUCCUUCUCUGGAACCUUGGCUCUCUGAAUGUCCUGACUCAAAAGUUUACUGCAGAUACAAAAAUUACAUGGGAAAAAUGAGCUUACAAGUAAACAUAAAAAUUGGCCACAGUAGCACACUGCUCUAAUUCUAGAAAUGAUGGACACAAGAAGAUCAGAGGCUGAAAUAAGGACAUCAUCUGUGACAUCAAAGUUUAAGGACAACUUCAGCUAAAUCUGACUAGCUCUAAAAAAAUUAUAAAAUAAACUCCUUUUCAACUUUCUUCAAUUACACAGGGAGAAACUACAAUCCAGAGCACUGGGAAAGGCCAUGCUAUAAAUCAGGCAGCGAGACAGAGGUAAGACUGGUUUGCAGGAUGUUUUUAGAGAGGCCGUUAAAACCUCAAGCUUAAAACCUAGCAAAAAUAAUAGUUAACCUAAAAUAAAUCAGAGGGAAAUAAGCAAAGCUAUUAAGAACAGUAAGACAUGUUAUAUUAUAUACUUUAAAUCCAAACCUCCUAGGUUUGGCCUCUAAUUUAUGGCAAACCUCCUACUCCAGGUUUCCAGAGUACCAUAACAGGCUGUUAUGUAGAUCACCAGGCUGGCCUUGAACUCACAGAAAUCCAUCUACCUCUGCCUUCUGACUGUUGGGAUUAAAGGUGUACCCUCCACUAUGGCUGACUUACUCUGUACUUAAUUUUUAAGAAUUAUAAAAUAGUGGUCAUCCAGUACUCAAAAGAGGCUGCAGAUUAAUUUUAUACUAUAUUAGAAAUGUGGGUUUCCAAUUAUUAUUUUUUCCAGUUAGCUGUUACAAUGGCAAUAAAAACUACCUGAUAUAUCCAAUAUUAUAGGUAUUUCUUUUAUGGGGUAGGGUGAGGUAAUAGGAUCUCAUGUAAAGAGGGCAACUUUGAACUUCUGAUCUUCCCAACAUAAUAUCAAGUGUUAGGAUUAUAGAUAUGUGAUGGGAACAAGUCAGGGUUCAUUAUGCUACCCAAGUGCUCUCCGACUAAGCCAUAUUCUAGUGAAAUACAGCCAAAUGAGGUGGUGUUAUCUACAAGGUAAUGCUGGCAUUCUGAUAAGAUCUGUAAGAACAGCCUAUGUUACACAGCUAGACACUGUCUGAUGUAAAAAUGAUAUUAAUGACCCUGGGGAAUGAAUAGUUACCCAGCUCUUUCAAUACAUACAUUUUCAAGGGGCUAAAGAGACUACUCAGAGGUUGGGAACAUCUGCUGCUCUUGCAAAGGACCCAAUGGCCAUCCAUGGAUCCAGUUCCAGAGGAUCCAAUGCCACCUCCUGACCUCAGGGAGACCCAUGCACACACAUAGUGCACACACAUACAUGCAGGCAAACACUCAUACACAUAAAAUAAAAUGUACAUCCAAAGCCUAGAAAUAUUAUGUGUUUAUUUCUAAAAGAACAAAAAACAAAAACAAAAAAAACCCUCUAAAUGGUUUUUCUUUAUUUGUGCCCUCACUUUACUAUGCUUUUAACAAUGAUCACAUAUUUUACAUAUAAACAUUUUUCAAGAAAAUGUUUACAAAGCAUUGUUUUAUUAAAAGCUGAGAAUGUAAGAAAGUUUGUUUUUUUGUUUAUUUUCUUAAAAUGUAAUAAAGGUAACUAACUGGGCAGACAGGUUGGUUGGUAAAGUGCUCGCUGCCAAAGAAGCCUGGGGACUGGAUUCGAUUACUAGUAAAACUCUGGCUCAUAAUCACAGAGCUGGAAAGACAAUCAGCCCACUCAAGCCAAAAAACAGUGAGGGGACUAGGAGAACAGACCCCCAUGGUGUAUAUACCUCCUGAAUGAAGCAGACCAUUACAAAGUGUUCUCUGACCUCCACGUGCACACACACUCAAACAUGUACUGAAAACACACAUGAACAGCAGCAGCAGCAGCAGCACUGAGAGGUUCGUGAUUGGCUGAGCGACUCUCACCUUAAAGCAAUUCUCAUCCGACAUGAGCUGCUCUGCUUUCCGCUGGUAUGUCGACUCCAGAAGGCUCCUCGAUGUCUGACUGCUCAGCUGGCCUCCAGUGGCUCCGUUGUUGUUUUCCGCCAAGUAAAGGUCAGUAACCUGCACACAGACCUCGUCGCUGACAAUAUGCUGCAGCUGCAACAGAGCACAGGCCAGCCAGUGAGCUGGGAGAGCUUAAAAACUUUUUUUUUAAUUUAAAAAGUUAAGCACUAUCAUUUUCAUAGAAAAUAGCUGAGUUAGGAUCUCCUGCCUUUAUUAACACCUCAUAAAACUCACACUUAAAAGCAAAACCAAGUCUCAGUGAUAUAAUUUUUCCUGCUCAUGCUUCUUAGCAAAACAAAUAAAAUGCCUUCUAAGUAUCUUAAAAUAUUUUGCAGUUGACUGGCUUUUGGUUUGUGACAGGAUCUAAUGUAGACUAGGCUGGCCUCAAAUUGACACAAGCUGAACCUUUUCUGCAUAGGCUGCUGGGGCAAACUCAGGCCACAGCAUAUGCCACAACAGGUAACAACCCCAUUCCCACACCACUAUGUGUUUUGAUUUUCCUCACCAUUCUUUUUUUUUUUUUUGGUUCUUUUUUUCGGAGCUGGGGACCGAACCGAGGGCCUUGCGCUUCCUAGGUAAGCGCUCUACCACUGAGCUAAAUCCCCAGCCCCCUUCCUCACCAUUCUUACUGUGAAAUUAAAAGUCUCCUAAGAGAUGACUCAGAGGGUAAAGCUGAUUGAUCUCAAGCCUGAUGACCUCAGUUUAACCCCUAAGAUCCACAUGGUGGAAAGAGAACCCACUUUCACAAGCUGUUCUGAUUUCCAUAUACACAUAUAGCACAUGAAAACUCAAAAGUUGGUAAUGUAGCAGAGGGUUUGCCUAGCAAGCACAAAGUCUUAAAUUCAGUGCCUAAUACCAAACCAACAGGUCCCUAAAAUAUAGAGAAGCAAAAAAAAAUUAAAGUCCAAUACUGAUCCAUCAAUUUUACUUAGCUACUCUCAUGAUGUCAUAGCCACUAAGCCAUUCCAUUUUUAGAAAGAAACAGUCUUUGUGAAGUAAAGACUUAGACAACACCAUUAAAAUAAGGCUCCUUAUGAUUAUGAUUUGAUAACACAGUGAAGCGUCAAAAAGUUUUAAGUGAGGGAGAAAGGGGAAAGACGUCAAAGAGUCUAGCCAAGACAUGAGUUCUCUGCACCACGAAGUCUCCCCUUGUAGAGCUCAGGUUAAGGUAGACUAUGUUCUACUGACUCUCUAGUCACAUCCUUUUAGGUAUCUGCCUCUCUCAGAAUCUUUGGAAAUGGCAGCACUACAAACCCAGAGACAACUGGGGGGCUACCUACAAUCACACAUUAAGUCUUUCACCAGGUAACCAGAAAUGACAUGGGUAUAAUUUUUGCAAGAUUUUUGUUGUUGUUGUUAAACAGAGGAGCACGUGCAUGGAAAAGCUAGGUGAUACCAAACCCAAAGGUGCUCAAAUCUCCAGAAGGAUGGAGAAGCCAGAAGCAUAUGCUGAGCGUCCAUCUGUCUGUCUAGAGAGAAGCACUAGAAUAGAGAUGCUUGGGAUGAAGGGAAGCGUCCCUAGUCAAGGUCUCACAGGAUGACAUCAUAUCAUGGCUCUGUAACUAAGAUGUCUGAGACUGCCUACUUAGAAUUAUCUCUCCUUGUUUUUGAGAAAAGAUCUUAUGUAUUAGGAACUGCCCUUGAACUUCCUAUGUAGCUGAGGAUGGCCUUCAAAUUUUGGUCCUCCAGCCUCCUCCUCCAAAUGCUGAGGUGAAUGCUGCCACACCCAUUUUAUGGGGUGCUGAAAAUUCAACCCAGGGCUUUGUCAUGCUUGACAAUUAAUUGCUACUAAUUGAGCUAAAUAAAGCCCAAGCCUGAAAACCCUAAGAUAGAUGUAUGGCUUGCCCUUGAAACUUGUUCAACCAGAACUGAACAGCAGGGGACCACCAACUAGAAAGAAAACAUAAGUCAGACAGAGCUCACUGAAGAGUUAAAAUUAAAAGUAUGAAAAUGUCUUAAAACCCUGUGGCUGUGGGCUUUCGGAGGCCACUCCUACUUUCCAGUUUUAAAACCUAUGUCGACAGUGUUAUCAACAUAAAUUUAUAACCAGAUUCUUCUAAGUCAAUCAAUUAUCUAUUUAAAAAUAACACAGGGCUUAUGAAAAUUUUAUUUUAUUGGCUUUCUUUUAUGUUCCUAACUGUAGCCAUUUAGGGACUCAGUAGGUAUCUGUCUCUCAAAUUAUGAGAGUCACUGUCACAUCUCCAUGGGAAGGCCUAGUAGCUUUACAUCCUUCAGAGUUGUCUCACCAACAACCUGCAGUGAGAACCAGGAGUCAGUUACAUGUAGCUUUCUUCACCAAUCCUGACUAGAUUCUGUGGGCAGACACAGGCAUGUACUCUUCCAAAGCCAAGGAAAAAGCAAGGGUUCUUUGCAAGAUGCAGUAUCUUCCUCAAGAGACCACUAAAUCUUUCCUUCUACAAUAGCAGUGUGGAUUCCAGGAGAGAAUUGGCCUUUUCUAUGAUUUUAGCUCAAAGAAGUCAUGUAGCUAAGACUGAUCUCCUAGGGGAGUUUAGAGUCUCAGCAGUAUGGAGCCUAUAAUGCAGCAGAAAACUUGGGACAAGCUCCCUGUCACAAGGACAACUCGGUUAGAAGCAUCACAUUGGCUGGGUGUUGUAGUUCACACCUAUAAUCUCAGUACUCAGGAAGAGACAAACAAGACUAGUUCAGUCAGCCAGUGCUACAUAGUGAGACCCUGUUACAAACAACUUCACAUAAGAACCACAAAUCUAGCACGGAGUCUCAGAUAAAUGAGGUGCACAGAGUACUGUAAAGGACUUCUAAUAGUAAAUGAGGCAAAUUAUCACCAUCACCUAUGGAAAAGGCUAUGCCGCACCUAUGUGCCCUUCUCAGAAAAAUAAAGCUGUGUUCUCUACAAGUGGCUAUUAGGACAGGCUCUGAGGAGGGUCACACUCACUCCUGCAAGGGCACAGUGAGAACCUAAGAGCCAAUUCGGGGGCUAGUAGAGUCAAGCUCUGUAAACAGGAAAGAAAGCUAUUCCCUCUGAACAGGAACACCAGACUCAUAAAGUAAACAAAACAUACACAGUUCAGGAAAUAAAGGAAACAAAAUUCAGAAAGCGCCUGAAACUUAAAAUCCACCCCCCAUCCCCAUCCCCACAGGGGCUGGCAUAGAAUGUAGCUGAGGAUGAACUUGAAUUUCUGAUCCUCUUAUAAAAGCAGAAAUAAUUCUGGGGAAAACACAUUCUCCCAUAGGUCAAGCUGCCCUUUGGCUGUGCAGGAGCUUCAAGGAUUCAGACUUUGUGUAUGGUGGGCUUUUCAAGGAUGCACUGACUCUGGGUUGGUCAUGUUCCUUACGUGACCCCAAUACAUAUAAUGGUUCACUAAGACUCGGCUAGAACCAUUGCUUUGGUCUACUGUCAGUGCAUCAAAGGGGUAAAGAGAUGUUUGUUAUUGUCUCCAACUUCAUGUUAACUUGGUGGUUUCCACUUCACUGAUUUAUAAACACUGAUACAUGGUUAAGCUGCUAUCCCUUUUCCCAUACAAGUCUUGCUUUUCUUUGUCACUUUUAGCUCAGAACACCUUCCCUCGGCAGCCUGGCCUCCGACACACCCUCUCACCUGUCUGACGAUGCUCUGGAUUAAUUUGUCCAUAGUAAAGGCAAUGUAGGCAUGGAUGGUGAACAUCUCUCUCAGUGAAUCUUCAUAUUGUGAUGAGUCUAUGUUGCCAUCAAGCAGGCUCCGCACCAUGUCCAGGAAAGCUGGGUAAUAAUCUUCUACAUCCACAUCCACUACAGGAAAGAUCAGACAGAAAAAUCCUAUGGGUAUUUGCCACUAUAGCCGGAGCUUGGCCUGGGAAAUUCAAAGGUAAGUUGAAGGACUAUCAGAGUCAUUUUCUACUUUGAAUUAAGACUUUGUGGUUCUGAUCAGCUAAGGCUAAAGAGCUGGCCAUGAUUAAGAGACCAGUACUACUACUUACGGUGAAACCUUUGUGUUAUUGACACAACUAAUGCUGGUCAGCUGGAGCUGAAAAAUUAGUGGUGAUUGAUUAAGAAGAGACCAUCAACACUGAGGUGACAUCUUCUGGGAAGUGUUUCCUCAGGACCACCAGAGAAGCUGCUAGAAUGAAGUAAAACUUUUAUUUUUGCUAGAGGCACCAAGUUUGGUCUCCCGGGGAGUACUGGUUUUGAAUGCAUGAAAUCAUCAUAGAGAGCUGAAGCUUGGCACUUGGAAUGGCCAGGAGAGGACACGUGAAGGCGCAGCCAGAAAAGCAAGUGAAGCCAAGGAUUGAAGGAGUAAGAAAAGGAGCCCCGGAGACGUUAUUCGUGAAAGGGCAGCCCAGCUGUAUUAGAAAAGCCACGUAUUUUGAAGAGGAUAAUAUAGCGGUGAGACCACCAAGCAGCAAUGGGAAAGUGCACCCUGCCUAAACCUACAAGCCAAUCCGCUGCUGCAGACAUUAAAGCCAGAAACUAACCAAGCUCCUGGAGGAGGAAGAGGAGGAGGAGCCCAGAAGAUUCUAAGUGGAACUCAGGCAUUGGACAGCUAUUUGAUUUUACAGGAGCCUUUAGUAGAGAGAUUUUUGACUUCAGAUUUUUAAGACAUUGGAUUUUAAACUUUUAAAUGUAUUUAAAUUUAUGGAGACUGUAGAACUUUUAAAGUCAUUUAUGUUUUUCUAUUCCGAUACUAUUAUUACUAAUACUAAUGUUAACAGGCUAUUUUGGGGACAAAUAUAAAAGGUUCUAAAUGUGUUUGUGUGUCAAACCUGAUAGAUAGAUAGAAAGAAGAUAUAUAUCUUUAACUUACACUCCUUCAAGUUGUAAGUUUUAAAAAAGCAUAAUUCAUUGUCCAAUAGACAGCAUAACCAUCUUAUAUAAGUACAUCCACUAAUUUGUUGUCAUUUGAUUUGAGACACUGUCACAAUGUAGCCUAGGCUAGCCUCAAACUCAUAGAAAAUCGGCUACUUUUAGCCAGGACUACUUCCUGAAUACCAGGUCAGUGAAGGCUACCUGGUAAGGUAUUUUCUCCAAAACGUACACAAAGAAAAAACCCAAAACCAAACACAAAUGAAUGGGCUAAAAUAUAACCCUACCGGGCAAAAUUUACUUUUAAAAAGCCACGUCCUAACUGCCUAUGAGGAACAGCAUAGGCUUUGUGGGCAACUGCUGUCUCAAGAGUCCGAGGGCCCUACUACAGCUCCUGCUGCCUACGAGGUGUUGGAACCAGGCACUAGCACACUGUUUCUGCCUGUGGAGCAUCAGUAUGGAUGGAAAGCAAGCGCUCAGCUAUUUAGCUGAUUCUUGCAAUCCACACAGUAUUUACUGAAAUUAAAGAAACAAAACACCAACAACAAGCCAUUACUAGAGCCAAUCUGAUUCCAAAACGAAGAAAACACUGCAGGCACCCAAACAAAGGGAUCUGUCAGAGUAUGUUACUCUUUGCAGCCACAUACAUGGCACCCACCACGUACUGUUGUCUUUUUUCAUUUAACCAAAUUCUGUAGACACCUCUACUCCCUAUUUCAUAAUUCAGAAUUCCAGAGAAAUUCAACAUUAAAUACAUACAGUUUCCUUCUUAUCCUAGACACACUAAAUCAAAAAGAGCAAGCUGGGCUUCCUAACACAAAACACGAUUUCCUUUAAGACAAAGUCAACAUAAGUAGAUGUGUCAGGCAAAGAAGACAUGACAGGAGACAGACCUCUAGUCAAAGCCUCUGCUUUGCUUAUGGGCACUAUACGCACAAGAGUCGAAUUGUCCCAGAGACCACUCAUUUACUUAUGAAAUAUCAAUUUAAGAAUCUUCUUGUAACCCAAGGCAAGUUUAACACAUCAUGAGAAACAUCAGUUAAAUCUUGGUAACAGAAAACAAAACAAAACAAAACAAACAAAACAAACAAACAAACAAACAAACAAAAGCAGGAAGCUCAUAGCAAAGAAGAGAUAAUAUAAGUACAGGAACUGAAAAGCACACACUACAAUCCACAGAGCAAGUGCUUUUCUGACCGGCCUUUUGCAAAGCUACUAAUAAGCUUUGUAGGCAAUUUCUGUGACCUGUAUCAACCCAAUCUAGAUAUACAGGAUCCGUCCACCUUACAUUCUAUCUGCCUACCCACCUUCACCGGAGGUGUGGCUCCUGUCCCAGAGUGCCUGCGGAUCUGGCAGCCGUUCUGACUGGGCCUCUGUGGCUUGUUAUUUAGUUGGGGCUUCUUCACUGUGCCUCCAUGGUCAUUUCUCACAGAAUCCACCUUCUCAGCAGUUGUUUUGCUUAAAAGCUGAUGAAGACAUACGAGACAGAUUAAUAUUCUAAUCAAAGUAGCAUCUAAAAAGGUCCCUCUUGCUAUAGCUUUCAAAUUUAAGGUAAGUAAUGUAGUUUGUCUAAGUGAGAUUUACCACCGAGCUGUUGGCAUCUGGCAGGAACUGUCCAAACUCAGACAACAGAUCUUCCUGGUUUUUGAAGAGACGAGCCACCUGGGCAUACACCUCUUGUUCCGUCAAAGCUGGAGUAUAGUUUCCUCCAGCUUCCUUGGCAUUCCGCUGUUCUUUCUGAAGAA